UACGUAGGGUGCAAGCGUUUGUCCGGAAUUAUUGGGCGUAAAGAGCUCGUAGGCGGUUUGUUGCGUCGGCUGUGAAAUCCCGAGGCUCAACCUCGGGUCUGCAGUCGAUACGAGCAAACUAGAGUGUUGCAGGGGGAGACUGGAAUUCCUGGUGUAGCGGUGGAAAUGCGCAGAUAUCAGGAGGAACACCGAUGGCGAAGGCGGGUUCUCUGGGAAUAUCCUGACGGCUGAGGAGC
rnacentral:rRNA from 1 species